rnacentral:lncRNA from 10 species
AGACAUCUGGGCUGCUAGCUGCAUGAAGGAGCUACCCGCUGUGGGUCUCCUCUUUGCUGACAGCUGGACACUUGACAGAAUGACCUGCCUGAACUCGGGACCUGCAGAAUGAUGGGACUGAAGAAGCUGUAACACAAACAGGGCUAAAACACGCACUCUCCUCCCCCUGCUCCCCACCGCCCCACCCACUUGCCACAUUGGAGGUGAUGAGAAGGAGAGAAGAGCUGUGGCCUUUCAGGGAGCAUAGUCCCAGGGGCUCCCUGAGCCAGGGCUGUGAAACCCUCUUCCGGGCACUGCAGUUCCUGGCAUCUCCAAACUUCUGAGUGCCACCGCAUUCCCCGCGUCCGGAUGCAGAAAUUGCCACAACCAUCUCCAGCUUUAGCAAUGACCAUCCUGAUCAGACAGUGGCCAUCCACAGUGAGGCAAGACCCUCUACCAGCAAAAUGAAUGCAACAUGCUAAAGGCUCAGGUCAAUGCACAGAAAGAAAUCUCUCUCCUGACUUUAGUACAAUGGCACGAUUGGUGGCCACAGUCCAAGGAU